GCUGAAGAUAGAGGCAGAGGGAGGAAGCCCCUUUGAGGAUAAAAGAAUUCAUCUGAGAGUCAGAUCCCUUCCUGGCUGGUGCAUCCGUCCGCCACAUGACAAGCAGUGGGGAAGUCAAUAGCACCCUCGCCCGGCUCCACCUGUGAUCCUGGAGAACAAGAGAGGAGCCGGCUGGAGGGAAGAAAAUCCUGAUCUUGUGAUUUCAAUUACAGGGAGGUGAAAAAUUAUUUGAUAUCUGAGCUUGCUAAAGGCUCCUAUUCCUUCUGCUCCAAAGAUCUUUCCUGCUAAACUGAACAAAAGAGGAGAAAGAAGUGGAGAUGCAUACUGAGGGGAAGGGGUAGUGGAAAAGAAAGCCGGCACAGCAGGAGGAGAGCAGAUGACAAUGCAGACACAAGAAAGGACUUCUCUGGAUUCUUCCUAAGUGGAAUUGACACAGCGCUGGCUCUUUCAUUAGACUUCUCUCAUCCUUUCCCCUGCUCUCGAUCUCUCAUGCCAAGAAUUGCAUUUGGAUUUUUGAAUCUACAUUGAUAGCACAGAUUUGGCUGUUACUCUCCAAUAAUAAUGUCACUUCGGCCCCCGUGUCUGGGGAAAGAGAGCAAGUAUGAUGGUGGCCCCCGCCAGGGCCCCAGCCCAGCCCCGGCCAGGCAUCCUCUGUGAUUCUCCUGGGAGCAAAAUCCUGAUGAGGCUUUUGACAUGGUUCUUCUUUUCAACUAAAUAAGAGAGAGGCCUAUACGAAUGGCAGCCCUAGCUGACUGGAGACAUCUCACUAGGUGAAGGCAGUAGAUUAUAUGACCAUGGUGUCCCAGCGACCAGCAUUCAAACCUGCCUUGACUUCUGGGUGUGCGAUGUUGGGCAACUUCCUAAGCUCUUGGAGCCACAGUCUCCUCUCAAGGGGAGGAGAGUAAGGUUUACCCAGUACAGUCAUGUGAGGCUAAAAGAAAAUAUAUAUAUAUAUAUUACUUAGCUCACAUGAAUACUUUGUGUCUCUAGAAGUCAGCUCCCCUCUGUAUACAGAAAGAAUCCUCAUAAAUUAGGCUUUUGGAAGAAUAAAAUCCUCUGUUCUAUACAAGAUCAAGAUAUAGCAUCCAACAAUGGUGAAAUAAAUUUGCCUCCAUGCUCUGUUUGUAGUUUAGCACCAUCAGCAUUUUGUCUAACCUUGUCUUUAGACUCUGUGUACAUGCAAUUAAAAUGUUG
rnacentral:lncRNA from 10 species